rnacentral:lncRNA from 1 species
CUGAUAUUGCUGCUUCUUUCCAGGUACAAAUCAAUCUGUGUUUUUAAUGUUCUUGUGAAAUGCUGAUCUCUAAACAUGCCCUGUUUAUAUGAAACAUGUCCUGUUUAUAUGAACCAGCGAGUAGCUGUUUUGCAUCUGGAGGAAAAGUGUGAACGAGCAAUAGACUGGGCAUUAGAACUAGAGCCUUCUAUAAAACAUAUGGUGAGGCUUAGAAUGAGGAAAAAGAAACCUCUGUUUUGCUUAACAAACGCUUGUAGACUAAUAUUGACAAAUCUUCAGGUAGUCUCUGGUGGUGUUGCUUCAAACAAGUAUGUACGACUUCGACUCAAUAACAUUGUUAAAAACAAAGAACUGAAACU